rnacentral:lncRNA from 1 species
UUGAAUAAUAAAACGGAUUUACCUAGGAAGUCUAGGAGAAAAUGCAAUGAAUUGUUUCAAGACCGACUCGAAUUGUUUUUUUUCUUUUAUUGAAUUGAUCCCACCGGAACAAAAUUCACUUGAUUGAUACAUGUACAUACACCUAGCAAUUCAACAUAAAAUUCAAGAUAUUUCAUCGAAUCAUGGAAUGAAGAGAUUCUACUUGUCUCCUGAACUAAAUUCUUGGAGAAAAAAGAAU